GCGUAAAGCGCGCGCAGGCGGUUUCUUAAGUCUGAUGUGAAAGCCCACGGCUCAACCGUGGAGGGUCAUUGGAAACUGGGGAACUUGAGUGCAGAAGAGAAAAGCGGAAUUCCACGUGUAGCGGUGAAAUGCGUAGAGAUGUGGAGGAACACCAGUGGCGAAGGCGGCUUUUUGGUCUGUAACUGACGCUGAGGCGCGAAAGCGUGGGGAGCAAACAGGAUUAGAUACCCUGGUAGUCCACGCCGUAAACGAUGAGUGCUAAGUGUUAGAGGGUUUCCGCCCUUUAGUGCUGCAGCUAACGCAUUAAGCACUCCGCCUGGGGAGUACGGUCGCAAGACUGAAACUCAAAGGAAUUGACGGGGGCCCGCACAAGCGGUGGAGCAUGUGGUUUAUUUCUAAACAACGCGAAGAACCUUACCAGGUCGUGGGGGCCUCUGACAACUCUCGAGAUAGAGCGUUCCCCUUCGGGCGACAGAGUGACAGGUGUUGCAUGGUUGU
rnacentral:rRNA from 2 species